CCCUCAAACGGGACAUGUUUCUUCCUUGGUGCCCAAGCGCUUGGAGGUCAAAAUUUUAUGUUUGACCUUGCAGGAGAAUCAGACGGCUACAUUGCUGCCACCCUGUCACGUAACACACAGGGAGUCAAUGACACAACCUACAUCUGUGCAAAUAACAAUGGUGUAGUCAAUUCUUCAGUGCUCUUCUGAACAACGGCAAGCUGACUCGCACACCGCUUAAAGUCAACAAUGUGAGGGGCAAAGUCAGUGGAAAGAACAUCCAGUGUCAGUUUGCUGCCACAGUACCAGACUCUACUAGCACCACAACUAGAGCAGACACAAGCACUACAAGUUUCUCAAUGUCAGUCUCCACUGGAACUUACAAUGCCAGUUCUGAUGGUCUGGGAAGCCCUACUGCCAAGAUAACAACUGGUGUGGUAGACCUGGCAAAUGUUAAUGCCACUAUCAAUAAUCAGAUUAAUUCCAACACCACAGCACCACCCAACACAACUGCAGCUCCAACAACACCUGCCCCACUGGUGCCUG